CUUGGCACUGGGAGAAUUCACAGUUGACUUGAUUAUUCUGUGGUUCUGCGGGUGCCAAAAC
rnacentral:pre_miRNA from 1 species